AUGUUUGAUGACUACAUCUACGCACCACAAACACAUCAAGUAUCUACUAUUAAAUGUGGGCUGGGUUUUCACUGUUGGAAAUGGAUGGACUGCUUCAGGAAAAACCUUCAAGUCACAUAUCAUAUAUGCAAUCUAAGACUUACUAAACCAGUUGACUUAGUUGGCUUACUGCAAAACAAGAACCAUUACUGACCACCUACUUCUGUGUUGGACUAUUAGGUGGAACAGCCAUUCUGUUAGAAGGAACAACGUUACAAUGUGAUGGACUACUAGGUGGAACAGUCAUUCUGUUAGAAGGAACAACGUUACAAUGUGAUGGACUACUAGGUGGAACAGCCAUUCUGUUAGAAGGAACAACGUUACAAUGUGAUGGACUACUAGGUGGAACAGUCAUUCUGUUAGAAGGAACAACGUUACAAUGUGUUGAUAUCAGGAUCUCCAAGGUGUCUUUCAUCUGAGUUUUACUGUUUGACUCCAAAGACUCUUAUGAUGGUUUAUAGCUUUCAGCUAAAUUCAUGCAUUAAAUUAUUAUAUUUUUCAUGGCAUAAUCUGUUCUUUCUAAUUCAAAUGACUUGAAUGAAAUGAUUAUAAAAUGCAUCAUUGAGAAUAAUAGGGUGGGAUACUACUAGUAUUGCUGCUGGACAUUAAACACUACUGUCAUAUUUUCUAAGUGGUGUUUUUUAUCAGUCUGUCCCUUUCACUUUGACAGUGAUGCUCUAAUGAUGUCAUAUCAUCAUGUGGUAACUGUCCUCAUGAUGCAGUAUUGUUGAUAAAAGAUGCUGUUGCCCAUGUGUAUGUAUGUAAUGUGAUUGACAUGUCCUGAGUCCUGUGUGUCUCCUGUGUGUCUGGCUUGGCUUGUGUCCCACAUGGUACCCUUUAACCCUAUGUAGUGCACUACUUUUGACCAGGGCCCAUAGGGAAUAGGGAACCAUUUGGAACACCGACUGAGAGUCUAGGAGGCAAUAUGAUUCUCACAGCACAGUUUGAUUGACAUGUAGGAUAAUCUGCAAUGGAUCAAUAAUAAUACAAUGAAUAAACCUCCCCUUUAUUUUAAAGCUGUUCUCAGUUUUGAUGGUUGAAUUUUAUCCAUGUAAUUUAUCCUGUCCGUUAUGACAUGUUAUUUACCCUGUAUCAUCGUCUAAUUAACAUAUUCAUCAGUGUCUCUAAUCAAAACUCACUCAAAACACUCAAAGAUUGUAUUUUCUUCAGGGGUUUGUUUUUAUUUCUGUAACGCUUCAGGGAAGGGUAAAGGUGUAACGAUGUACACUGAGAGUCAGGAAGAAAGUUCUGGAAGGGAAUACAUGCAAUAAAUAAACACAACAAGACACACGAACAGCCCACCAAGAUCACACGGAUACAGAGGGGAGGGGAGGCAGGGGGCAGCGGUACUCUAGGGGGAGUAGUGGGGAGGGGAGGCAGGGUGCA
rnacentral:lncRNA from 1 species